AGAAGUUCAGUAAGUCCUCACAUAUAUUUAACUGUACAGAAAAACAGAAGUAUAGCUCCAGAUAUUGAUUGUGCUCUCCAGAAUUCUUCCCCCUGGUACAAAUUGAAGACUCUUCCAACAAUACAAACAAAACCUUUAACAAUGAUUUAUCACAUAACCCUUCAUACAGUCUGUUUAAGUCUCCAUUACUGGAGGGAUUUAAGACUUGUAGAUGUGGCUCUUGGGGACAUGGGUUAGGCUUGGCAGUGUUGGGCUAAAAGUUCAACUUGACCUCAGAGGUCUUUCCCAACCUAAAUGAUCUUGUAUUUGCCUUGACAUGCAGGGAAAUAUACAGGAUACAAUGAAGGUCAAGAUGGGUUUGAAUGAAGAUUGGGUGCUGAGGAAUGGGGAGAUUUUUGGAGGAACAUGUAAUGAGUUGACUUCACGGGUUUGCAGUAUAAACUGACACUAUGGUGAUGGGUCGGAAGUGCAGGCAGAGCUGCAGCUUGGACAAGUUCAGGGUCCCUGGUGUUAAUUGGUGAUUGCCAGCUGCUGUGAGACUGGGCCAGCCAUGGGAAGAAGGUGAGCCAUGGAAACCUGUAGUCUGUGCUGGAAAAUAAGUGACUGAAAAUGUUCGUCGGUGACUAACUUGCUACAAGACGUUAUUUCUGGGACGUCUCUUGACCCGUGUGAACAGAUGAUGAACAAUUUCUCCUUUCUGGGUUGGCUUCUUUGCCUCUUGGUGCAGAAGUUGUCCUGAAAGCAUGCCAGGAAACCAAAGUCAUAGAGAAGUGCUCUGGAACUGGAGUGAGAACGACAUGCUUGAUGAAACAUGUCAAGCUACAUUAUAUUGUAGGACUGCCUAAUCAAAAGGGCCUGCAAGAAGAAUUGGGUUAUUUCAUGAAGGCUGAGGUCCUCCAGCAGAAAUGUGACAUAUAGUGCAGUGGAUAGUCCUGUGUAUAAGAGGAGAAUUUUAAAUUCAAAUGUUCUCUGAAACUCCAAAACCAGAAGGAAACAAAAGGAGAAAUCAAGCUACAGAGGAGAGGUGAAGCAAGGCAGGAAUUCUGUCUCAGACAUGGGAAAUGUCCUCUCCAAGCACAUAAGGAAGUCUGUUUUGCAGCAGCAGAUACCAUCAAGAUCCUGAAAAUCUGUGGCAUAGCUGAACCUUUUGUGUCUGUGAGAAAACUCUAUUCAGAGUGGAUGAAGGGCCCAGGCAGGUUGAUCAAGAACUCUUCUCUUGGAGGAAUUCUUCCAGAUGGCUUUUUCAGCAACUAUUUCCUAUGGCAAUUCCAGAUGGGCCCAUACCACAAGUUUGGGAUCCAGAUUUGGAUUUGGACCUGACGUUUAUCAGAGUUUAGGAAUAGCUGAACCGAGGAUCUGAGGUCAGGCUCUGGAGGAAUUAACAGCCUGCUGCAAAGACCUGGAUCAAGGGAAUCUCCCCCAAAUUUCAAGGCAUAGGUGUGGCAAAUACAAGGACUUGAUUUGAGCUGUCUCUAAGGUAUUUCAAUUUUAAAAUGAAAGACUUUCAGUGAAGUGGGAGGCUGUGAUUAUUGUUGUGCCUAAAGGAUGAAAUUGCAUAUGGGGAUCCGACGGACUGAGUGCUGUUGGAGAUUGUAACAAGAGACAGGAACUGCCUAAAAUGGUUUCCAGCUUAAAUACUCAUCCAAGGUCAAUAAGAGUAUCUGUGAGAAAGUAUUGAGAUCCCUGAUUUAUUAUCCAGCACUUUUACCACAAAAGGGUUACCUCAGUAUAAUUCUUGACUUGUUCAAGAAGAGGAUAAAAUACCUUAACAACACCAAACACCUAGGUGCAGAUAGAGACUUAGACUGCAAAUGCUCUGAGUUCCUCUUCAGGCUACAAAUUUCUCAUAUUUUCAAGAUUAAUGGCUUCUAAUCCGUUUUUAAAUGUUCCAUGUGGAUAGUGAAGGCGUAACUAUCAAAACACUGUAAAAUCAUAAUGUCUGUGUAGCUAUAAAUUACUGUUUUCAAAAUGAGCUGGAGGUCUCCAACUUAUUCUUAAGUGCAAAUUCUUAGAUGGUAUAAAAUUGCUCCAAAAAAUGACUGGGAGCAAGUUCUCUGGCUUUUGCCAAAGAGAAGGCAAUUAUGGAUCUACCUACUAACUCCAUAGCAGUGUCUGUCUUGGUGACACUGGAAUGGUCCUAAACAGUAUAAAUUGGAUAGAUCAAAAUCAUUUCAGAUUAGAGAUUGAUUGAAAGACAUGAGGCUUUUUUGCAUAUUUCUCUGAUAUGUUUUAUGCUUUUCAUUUGUCAAGUUCUGAACUACUUUGUAUGAGACUGCUGAUGAAUUCAACUCAUGCUAAAGUACAAGUUCCAUGACAGAUUGUUUUUAAAAAAAUGUUAUAUUGGCUUAGAGUAUUUUCUUAAGUGAAAUUAAUGCAUGGCAUUCCAGAAAACAGGUAAAAGAGAACUUCCAACUCAUUAUUAUUUGAUUUAAAUACAUAUGCAAUGAUUACUUCUAAAGAAAAUAAAAAAAGCAUGAUUUAAAAGAUCA